rnacentral:lncRNA from 1 species
CUAAUAUAUUCAGGCACCUCACUGUUCUAGCAAUUCAUAAGAGUAAGAAUUCUAGCAUAUAGAUUACUGUUUCAGGCUUUGGACAGUGAGUUUAAAGUAGUUACCUUCAAAUCCAUGGGAUUGAGAGAAAAUUGGUGAGGGAGUGUAAAAAAAAGGUCAGAUGAAUUAAAAAAAGCAAUCAUAUUUAAGGAAGUGACCGUAAAGUUAUCCAGAAAUUGUAUAAUUGGAUAUGGAGAUGGAACAGAACCAAAGAAGGAAAGCAGUCCUGAAGAAGACUUUGCAAGUCCACACACAAGGGAAAGAUCAACAUCUCUUAACACUUCAAAAGGUUCAAGUGGUGCAGUUCCUGGACCUGGGAACUCAGACCUGAGAGCUUGGGCCAUGACAGUCUUAAAGGGAGGAUUCCAAGAUGAAUGCUGCUUCCCAGCUGGGAAGUUCUGAGAAGCUAGAGGCCUAAGAAUUGAGCUUAGAGGGGCUUUGGAUGUGUAAUUUGGUGGAAUUAUGCUAUACAGGAGUUUGAGCGAAACUGUCAAUAUAAUCUUUCUCCAAGAAAUGGAGGUAGUAUAUGUAAAGCGGGGGUGUGUGAUGACUAUUUUCCCAUAGGUAGGGGGAACUUUGUAUGCUUUUAUUAUGCAUUUGAAGUAAAUAUUGAUUUUAAUUGUUAAUCAAUCUGUACAGGGGACACUUAAAACUGAGGUAACAGCAUUAGUGGAUCAUAAGCCAAUUAGAUACCUCCCAAACUCCUUAAAGGUAUGGGAGAACCUUGGAGGAGGGUGAAAAAUAAAAGACUUGGCCUUCAGUCA